UCACAACCUAUAUUUUAAUAACAAUAAAACAGCUUUUGGUUUCGAAUGGUCACCAAAAAGGAGAGCUCCCCACCUCCCAAUUAAAUUAACUGCUGGCUAUCAGAUUACAAGGUUUACAAGCCAAAGUUCAAAUGCUGACAUCAAAUUCAAAGCAAUCCGCGCACUGCCUAAACAGCUGACCGGAAAAGCAAAUGGCACUCUGCUUUCUAAAAUUGACAGAAAAGGCGCACCGUCUGGCAGCUGCUCUCCAAGCAAUGCUCCUAAAGCCAGCCAUUACGGUAAACAACCAUUGUUUUUUCAUCGGGAUUGGAAUGAUAUGCCUACUUUUUGUGGAACUUUGUUUUUUUAUUGCAGUGGACAGUUCAGGGCCUGGCUCCCCAGUGGGUGCGCCUCUGUAAUCCCAGGCCCAUGUCUGCGCCCCUGAUGCAAACAGCACAUGACAAUUGCGCAUUACAAAUAGCCUACUAACCAACACUUCGGACUAAACUUUUUCAAUACCUGGGUUGCAUACAUAUUGUUGCCUUAGUUAACAUUUGCUGGUAGAUAUGUUAACGUCUUUCCUAUGAAGUGAUGUGAUUUUGAUCAUGUGAUUUCUCUGCAAGGGCUUUAUAGUUUAGAUUUUCUCUUGUCAGACUAAGAAAUAAAUGGACAGGAUUAAGCCGUCCUAGUUCAUAUGUUCCACUCUUUCUGAAUUCACCCUAUAGAUAUUUUCCUAAUAUUUGAAACUUGUUUUAUUGAGUUUUUACCAGAAAAUGCUGUAACAGACUGUUAUAUUCUGAAAUUAUCGCUGCCGGCUGUGCUACAUAAAACUGUGGGCCGUUUUCACAGACAGGCCUUAGAUUAAGCCAGGAGUAGGCCUUCAUGUGUACUAGACAGGGCUUAGAUUAAGCCAGGAGUAGGCCUUAAUGUGUACUAGACAGGGCUUAGAUUAAGCCAGGAGUAGGCCUUAAUGUGUACUAGACAGGGCUUAGAUUAAGCCAGGAGUAGGCCUUAAUGUGAACUAGACAGGGUUUAGAUUAAGCCAGGAGUAGGCCUUAAUGUGUACUAGUUAAACUAGAACAUUUAAGUAGCUUUCAUGAACGUGGCUUAAAUUUGGCUUAGAGUCCUGGAGUAAGUUAAGUAAACCUAAAUGAGAACCUAAUCAGGUUUAACCCAGGGUUUAAGUAUGAGCACACGCUGUUGGUCUACUGGGGCUCAUAAAAACCCAGAAUGGAAAAGAAAACACCAUUACUGGUGUGACUCUUGAGACAAAACAAUGGCAGAGGCAAAAGUAAUUAGUUCAAAAAAACUUUAGUGAGUAUGAAAAAACGCUACUAAAACAAAUUUUGUCAAACCUUCUAGUUAUUGAAUGUAAAAACCAUGCUACUGCUACUGAGCAAAAGAAAAAGAGUGGUUGGGCUGCAAUUUGCAGUGAAUUCAAUGCAAAUGAAAAUGUAACCACAAGAAGAGUACAACUUCAGAGGAAAGGAAUGUGAACAGGUUGGAAGAGCCAGUGCACAGUGAGUGUAUACCCUCCACAUCUGCUAUAGCGUCCCUGAGAGAAGAUGCUGCCACCACCUUUCAGCAGAGAACAAAGAAGAUGACCAUACAUGAAAAGUUAGACAGAGAAUUUUAUGAGCAUAAAAUGAAAUAUCUGAAGGAAGAACAUGAAAUAAAAAGGACAAUUCUACAGGUUGAAUUGGAUAUGAAGUUGGAAGAGAGAGGUAUGAUCCAAAAAAAAGAGAGUAAUGAG
rnacentral:lncRNA from 1 species